rnacentral:lncRNA from 1 species
CAAGGGGAUGAUCACUAAGGAAAAAGGUUAAAGGGGAUGACACUGACCAAGCAAACUUGUUUUCACUUUCCAAACAAGUGAUUUGUCUGAUAUAACAACAUUAGAAUGCAAAGAUUUCACCUGCACCAAAACAGUUCUCAUCAAUCCGUGCCAUCCAUUUGAGCCCUGAAAACAACAGUAUUCCACUAAUAUGAACACAAACUUUGCAUCGAACACUACAACAAGAACAGUGUUUUGUCUUAUAGUUCUCAAAGUCAUAACUCAGCUUAGGUAACAACGUAAGCCCAGUUUUAUACAUACAAAAGGGUAAUAACUUCUUUCUCAGCUACUUAUCCAUUUGCCAUUUCUUUAUAAGCAAAAACAUUAUUCUUCAUAAAGAUUAACAACAGUCUUAUAUAAAAAGGGUAAUAACUUCUUUCUCAGCUACUUAACAACUUCAGAUCACUCUUGGAAAAGAUAUCUUAACAACAGAAUAUUUCAGCGAGCUAAAAAGCCACUUUUUUUUUAUAACCGAGAAAUCACCGAGGGUCAAUGGUGCACAGGCUUUUGUCAGCGUCGGGUUUGUUCAGCAGUAGGGUUUGAACACAAAUCCUUGAGCCGAGGGUCUACAAGAAACAACCUCUCUAUCCUCAUAAGGUAGGGGGUAAAGUCUGCAUACACACUAUCCUCCCCAGACCUCACUUGUGGGAUUACCCUGGGUAUGUUGUUGUAGGGUUUGAACACACAAGCUAUAAACUUCCAUAGACUAAAUUUGAAAAACAAAUCUAUAUGUUUCUUGAAAGUUGGAACGAAAGUAAUUUUGAGGACUGAACAUCUAUAUAUAUAUAUAUAUAUAAAAGGAGAGGCAAAGAAAGGCUAUGAUAACAAGUGGUAUAAUAUUAAAUUGACAAGUGUCUAAAUUUUAUUUCAAAAAUUUGCCAAUUAAAAAUAAUAAUAAUUCCCCCGCGUAUAUUUGUUUGGUAUUUUGGAUUUUAUUUAUUAAAUUUAGGUAAUAAAAAUAAUGGAUAAUUCCUCUCACGUUGGGAUUAGGCCUCUUUUUAUAUUCACGUUGGAAAUAGACCUUUUCUUAAGUUAUUAAUAAUUAAUACCUAAAUAGUUAGAUUUCCAAAUUUUUCCAAUAAAACGGGGAAAAAAGAAGAAAAAAAACCCCACGAUCCCAAACAUGGGCAUUAUCAACAAUCAGAAACCUAACUACGUAACUCCUUUUUAUCAACAGCAAUCAUAACUGCUUUAAAUCUAUGGCAAAUAACGCUUUAUGUGGUUUUUUCUUACCCUUUCUACUCCCUAUUCUCUGUUAACAAUAGUCUUCCCCAAGUUGAUUCAACAAUAUUAUGUGGUUUCUCCUUUUUUAGGUUUGCAAAGAUGGCUACACCAGUUCAUGAAAUCCGACAAUUUCAAGCAACUCGAGGCAAUGGAAUUUGAAAGUUAUGGGAAAUUCCGGAUUGCUUCAAGCCUGAAAUAUCAUAUUUCAUACAAUUGAUCUUACAAGAUCCAUGGGUAACAUAUUCGUUCAAUAAUUUCACUUAUUUUUAAUCUCCUCCUUUUCUGUUGUGUUUAUGCAUUAAUUUUACACAAUCCUCAAAUUUAGUUUCCAAAAAAAUUUGUGACGUUAGUAGUGGCAUUCAAUUCCUAAAGUGUAUCACUAUCUCAUAGAUUAAAGUUCUUCUUCUUUGUUGAUUUUUACUGCCUUCGGGUUCUAAGGAUGGCAUUCAAUUCCUAAAGUGUAUCACUAUCUCAUAGAUUAAAGUUCUUCUUCUUUAUUGAUUUUUACUUCCUUUGGGUUCUAAAGAUUGUACAUAGUUGAAUUAGUAGUCAUCAUUUAAGCAAAAGAAAAGUAUAUAUAGCAUGUGCCGACUAUAUUCAAUUAAUUUAAUGUGAAAAAACCCAAUUCUUCUGUGUUCUUUGUAUAUUUUUUUCCCGUUCCUUCUUUUUGGCUCAUUGCUAGACUUCUUCUCUCAGGACAAUGACUCCGAGGAGGAUGAGGAUAUGACAAUAAGACCUGAUCAUGUGGUUAUAGUUUGGAUAACAUUCAAUGCUUCAUUCGUCAAGUAUUCUGAAAAGUGAAACGGAGAGUAAAGGGACUGCCUCAUUAGCGGGAAAGCAUCAGUCACUAGAGAAUUAACGCUCAUUCAACGAACUUUGGCAUUUGGAUCCUUUCUAAAACCUGCAAUCUAAAGUAUGUAUAUGAAAUUUUCUGAUCUUCAAGAGAACCAUGGUAAGCUUGAAGAAGUAUUACGGUUUGUUUCAAACCAAAUUUACAGCAGUGGUACGUCAUUCACAAUGCAAGAAGGAAAAUGGUGCUUUGAAUAUUGUAUCAUUGUAUGGUAAAGAUAAAAAUUAUAGUAAUAGGUUACUUAUGUACUCAUCAUAUCAAACUUUUCAAGGAAAUUCAUCAAGCCACUAAAUUUUACAGGGGAAAGUUGGAAUUUGGCUUGAUUUUGAGUUUUCUUUGUCAAUAAUCUCUGCUACAAAUCAUAACCACAUCUGGUUUUUGGGUAUUUCUUGCUAAACCAGAUAAAUUAGAUUGUACUGUCGUCAAUUACUUACAUAUAAGAAUACCGAACCUAUACACAGAUGAUGAAGCAAUAUUAUAGUUGGUAAAAGACAAUCAAGUAAACGAAAAGAUACUUAACUUCAGAAGAUGAGAUAAAAGAAAAUAAAGUGAAAGGAAAAGCAAAUUAACAACCUUCGGAGAAUUAAAUUCUAGUACCUCAGUUUAUCAAAAAUUGGUCUAUAUAUGAAUAGAGCUUUUUUUGCUAUCAAGGAAAUGGUCUUGAAUCCAAUGAGUUCUAAAUAGUCAUAACAACAUCAGCCAAGAGGAUAAGUUUUUCUCAAACACAUUAAUAUCCAUUUGGAGCGAUGCAGUAACUAAAAUAAUUGAAUUGACCAAUUAUAUUAUUCUCCUUCUUCGAUCAAAAUUUAGAUGGUGCCUGGUCCCAUUGUUUUCGAUUCUCAAUUCCCUCUUCAGCAUUUGAUCCAGUGUCACGAUAGAAUAUUUAUCUUUAUGUGGUUUAAUUUUCUUAUUAAGCCAUUUCAUCUAAGCAUACAUCAAGAUUUCAGAGCUUAACCCACUGAAGCUGAAGCAACAACCUUAAACGAAAAUUUAUUUGUACCUUACACUUUUUGUCUCACCACUUGUGGGAUUACACUGAAUUUUUUGUUGUUGUUUUACACUUUUUGUUUCACCUUGACCCACCAAGUUACUGCUUCAGAGCACAGUAAAUCUCCUAAAAUUUAGACUAUUUGGAAAUUAAACCAACGUAGCUAUCGCCAAAAAUUUACAAACUUCAAGCCGACGAAAAAGAAGGUUUGCAUUUUACAAAUAUCAAUAGCAGCUUCAAAAUGUAAAUUUCCAGAAACUAACUCAAAUACCCUAACUUGAACAUUUAAUUUCUUACAUUUUGGUACUACCGCAGUAAGCCUAAUCAACCUUCCCCUUUAUAAUUUUUCUUAUGACGGUGGUGUCCGAGCUAGCUCGUGCGUACUUCGACUAUUCCACUGGGUACUUUUUAUCUCCCACUAGCACAAGUACCGGGUAACUCUAUCCAAGGCCUAGAUAUAUGAGAAAAAUCAUGUAGUGUUUUUACCAUAUAUAAUUAUUUUUAUCUUGAGAUGAUCCACAUUUGGACAAAUUCUCAAUCUUAAUUUCAUUUCAACAAAUAACAAAAAUAUCAAAAUAAUUUCAGUAUACUCAUGUUGACUGAAUUUCAGAUGAAGUCCAUAUUUCUACAACUAAGUUCCGAUCCCAUCAACAUUGAGUUUUUAAUCUUACCCUUUUCAUCUAUACAAAAAAUGACAUAACCUAUUUUGAUUUAACUCAUCAAGAUUGAGUUUUAAUUUGACCCUUUUGAUUUAACCCAUCAAGCUUGACUUUUUAAUAAAAUCCUUUUGAUCUAAUCCAUCAAAGAUUGAAUUUUUAGUCUUUAUUGACCUUUUUCAUAUGCGAAUUUUGCAUUUAAAUAAGAUAAAACGGUUCAAUAAACUGAACAACUUAUAGCAUAAAGACAAAGUAGUUUAAAAAGGGAAAAUUGAAAUACAAGGUAAUUACUAAAACAUAUGAGUAUAGAUCAGAGAAAGGGGACUUACAGUUGAAGUCUUGAGAAAUUAAUUUCAUGGAGAUAGGGAGAAGAAGAAGAAAAAGAAAAUGGCGGGGUGGCAAGGCGGGGUGGUGGGGUUAACAAGGAGCAGAAGAUGAAGUUAAAAUAGACAUAUUUAAAGAAUGUACCAAAAGUGAGUAACAAAAAAUGAUGUAAUUUACAGACAGAGAAAAGUGUUGGUAACAUGACUGUUGCAUGCUGCCCCAUUCUCCCUCCACCCCCGAUUUAUCUAAUCGUAAUGUUCAUUACUUAGUAUUAUUAAAUUAUCAAAUGAAUUGUAUUAUCCAUUACUUAAUAGUUUGAACUCAAAAUAAAUGUUCUUCAAAAUUAAUUAUCUUUACGGUUAUAUUUCAAAAUUUGAAUGGUUUAUCUAUAUUUAUUUAUUUAUUUUUUAAAUAGAGUAAUUAAUUAAUUUAAAAUUCAAAAUCUUGAGUUAUAGAUAUUACCUUCUUUUAUCCCUAACAAGUAUAUCAAGCUAUUUGAAAUUUCAUGAUAUCGCCAAACGCUCAAUUAUGAUGAAAAUUCAUCUGCUUAUGAGAAAUUCAAUAGAUAAUUCUUCCGUCUUUGAAUUGGGCAUUGACAUAAAGUAUCGAAAUAAUGCCAAGUACACAUAAAUAGGAAAUUACAUCUAAAGAGAAAAGUUAAAAAACUUUGCCAAGGAUGCCAAUGUGAUUAAUCCUUAACUUGAAAUAACAUGUUUAUUACUGGCAUCAUAACUUAUUAUCUUUUCAUCUAACUCGAUUAAUUUGAUUAUUUCAUAAGAUUGUUCAUCAGACAUUAUCUGCCUGGCAGUAAAUAUUUUUCAUUUUGUAUGUGAUUCGAGCAGAGAUUGAAUAAUAGUCGGUCCUAAGUUAUAACCAUUUAUGGGGAAGACUAUAUGAUGUCGAAGAUCUGUGCAAAAAAAAAAGGAAUUAAUAAAGGCUAGUGAUAGAAAUUUGAGUUGUUUCAAUGAGCUCAAAAGAAUGAAUCUCCAUUUCAUUGAGUUCCAAAUAGCUAAAAUUUACUGUACCAAUACUUUUUUUAAAGAAGAAUAAUUAAAAUUUUGUUGUGUGUAUGAAUGAUGAACCAUUUUGCCUUUGGUCUUAGCUUUUAAAUCAUUAAAUAAACGUAAGGCCAUAACGUUGCACAACAAACAUUAAGAUGAGUAUUAGUACAAUUGAAGUUGUUGUCAGAGUGUGCAUACAUUAUGGAUGUCAAGGUUAUGCAAAUGGGAAUCAUUAUUUUCCCAUAAUUGAUUUUUCUAUCUUGAAAUACUAUGGCUUUGUCGUAUUUCUGAAUUUUCAAGGCAUGAGAGAAUACAUAGGGGCGGCGUAUGUAGGGCAUACUCGAUUGGUUCAAUUGAACCCAUAACUUUCGAUGCAGAGUAAAAAUUUAUUAAACUUACAAAUAUAGUAAAUAUGAACCCAUAAAUUUUAAAAAAAUAAUGGGUUUAAUAUUAGAAAAUUUUAAAGUUGAACCCAUAGGGUUUAAAUACUGGAUCCACCUUUGGGUAUACUUGACUUGCUUUAUUAAGGCUAUAAAGAAUAUAAUUGGACGUCAACAAAUAAUUGUAUGUUUUUUUUUAUUGAAUUCCCUUACUACAUGGCUAGAAUGCGGGUUCCUUGAUAGGAAAGUCUGGAGGUCUAGUAUCAGGGUUGUAGGAUAGGGGCUCCUAGAGUUUUUCAUACUCCUCACCCGGGGUUGGGUGGGGCUUGGCAGGGCUAUCCAUAGAUGAUUUGUGUAUUGGAUUGCGUCUCCCUUAUGGUAGUUAUUUAUAGUAGUUACCGUCUGAUAUUAUUGCAUGUUAUUUUAUUUAUGGUUCUUAUGUUUAGAUAAUAUUUACGCUAUCUCUGUUGGAGUUACUAAUGCACUUUUGUUUUUGUUUUUGUUUUUGUUUUUCCUUUCCUUCACUGAGCCGAGGGUCGAUUGGAAACAGCCUCUCUGCCCUUUCGGGUAGGGGUAAGGCCCGUCGACAUAUUACCCUCCCCAAACCCCACUUUGUGAGACUAUACUGGGUAGUAGUUGUUGUUGUUGUUGUUACCACUUUAUUAUAAGAACAUCCAUUACAUUAAUAUAUUCCAAAAAAUAAUAGCAUUUUCAUGCUUUUUGUAUCUACCUGUCUUUUCCAAGAUAUAUUUUCUUAACAAGAAUUAUAUUAUUAUUCUCCGCGGUAUCGCGGGCACGGAUACUAGUAUAAAUAACAAAUAUUAGUAUUCUUUUCAAUAAAUAAAUAAAUAAAGAAAAAAACCAUCCUUCAACGAAACUAUGAAACAAAAAAACGCAAAUUACCAAAAAAAAAAACAACUUGCACUACAAAAGCUGAGAUCUUUAAUUAGCCAAUCAACCAACUAGACCUCAAUCCCAAAUUAGUUGGUCAUCUAUACAAAUACUCCGUAUCACUUCUUCGUUAACUAGGUCUGACUUAAUUUGCGAAAUUCACAAAAAACAGUGAAAAAAGUUGACAUUUUGAAUUUUAAAAAUAUUUUUUUUAUCAACAAAACAUCUGAGAGUUUAACACUAUAAGCAAAAGUUUUAGCGAACAGAAAGGUGAGCUAAAAGAAAGAUAUUUUAAUUUACCUGAGAGAGACGUAGAAGGGAGGUCAGUGGCACCGACCCAGGUGAGCGAGACGCAGAAAAAAAUGGAGAAGCUGGAAAACCUAGAAGAAUUACAAAAAUAGGGAUUUGCCUGAUAUUUCAUGGGUAUUACCUGAUAACCAUAUGGGUUAUGGGUUAUUUUUUUGGGAAUACCACGGUUGGUCACUAAUUAUUUACUUUUAAGCCAGCGUUUAAAAUAUCUUUAGUCUUUAGUCACUGUUUUAAUAAACA